CCAGGUCACAGGUGACUUUGUUGAUAUAAAUGCUCGACCUGCACAUGCACGUGAUGGACAUCCAGGUGCUGAAAGCCAUCGUUUUACAAGUAAUCAAUUGCUUAGUUUGAUAAAUUUUGGAAGUGUUCGGAUGUGUAAAAGAUUUGCAUUUGAUGUAAUGAGAACAGGAAUACAUGGAAAAUUCCCUAGGGUAAGUCUGGAAUUAAAAAAAAUAUGCCUUGCAAAGGGGAUCAAAGAACCUUAAAAUAUGAAUAUUCUUCGUUAUUUUAAAAAGUUUACUUAAAUGAUCACUUUUCAAAUGAUGUUAAAAUCUAUAAAUUAUCUAUUAGCUAUAUGUUGCUAUAAUUUACUUGUCCGUCCAUCCAUCCAUUUUCUGUACUGCUUAUCCUUACUGGGUCGCUGGGAGCCUGGAGACUAUCCCAGGAGGCAUGGGGCAUAAGGCAGGGGACACCCUGGAUGGGGUAUAAUUUCUUUGUUUUUCACGUAUAUCUUCUAAUUAACAGGUUAAUUGUCGAGGCUGAGGAAAUCCUGCUCUUAUGAAAACAUGCGCUGUUUGAUGUAAAUGACAGCAAACCAGUGAUGCAGUACCAGCAAUGGAACCUCUAGCCUCUAGUGGUGACAGAGAAUUUGAUCAUGGUUCGAGGAAAGGAAUUGUCGUCAGAGAAGCGUGCACAAAUCUUCAUUUUGCACAAACAGCAGAUGUCUAGUAGGGAAAUUUCCAAAAAAAAAACUGAACAUGCAAGUCCACUGUUGUCGCCACAGUCAAAAGAGCAACUGAACUUUCAUGAACAAAUAUAUAGUGAUUGCAAACUUUUGGCCAUGACUAUAGAUAUAGAUAUAAAUAUAGAUAUAUAUAGAUGUAGAUAUAG
ensembl:lncRNA